GAUGAACGCUGGCGGCGUGCCUAAUACAUGCAAGUCGAGCGAACAGACGAGGAGCUUGCUCCUCUGACGUUAGCGGCGGACGGGUGAGUAACACGUGGAUAACCUACCUAUAAGACUGGGAUAACUUCGGGAAACCGGAGCUAAUACCGGAUAAUAUAUUGAACCGCAUGGUUCAAUAGUGAAAGACGGUUUUGCUGUCACUUAUAGAUGGAUCCUCGCCGCAUUAGCUAUUUGGUAAGGUAACGGCUUACCAAGGCAACGAUGCGUAGCCGACCUGCGAGGGUGAUCGGCAACACUGGAACGGAGACACGGUCCGGACUCCUACGGGAGGCAGCAGUAGGGAAUCUUCCGCAAUGGGCGAAAGCCUGACGGAGCAACGCCGCGUGAGUGAUGAAGGUCUUCGGAUCGUAAAACUCUGUUAUUAGGGAAGAACAAAUGUGUAAGUAACUAUGCACGUCUUGACGGUACCUAAUCAGAAAGCCACGGCUAACUACGUG
rnacentral:rRNA from 1 species